CACGUAGGGGGCGAGCGUUGUCCGGAAUCAUUGGGCGUAAAGAGCUCGUAGGCGGCUCGGUAAGUCGGGUGUGAAACCCCCAGGCUCAACCUGGGGACGCCACCCGAUACUGCUGUGGCUAGAGUCCAGUAGGGGAGUGUGGAAUUCCCGGUGUAGCGGUGAAAUGCGCAGAUAUCAGGAGGAACACCAGCGGCGAAGGCGGCGCUCUGGGCCGGUACUGACACUGAGGAGCGAAAGCGUGGGUAGCAAACAGG
rnacentral:rRNA from 1 species